UUUGUUUCUGUAGAUGAUUGUUUGACUUCUGAGCCAUGAAAUCCUUAAAGAGCAGGAUCCUCUCCUUCCUCUGGCAUGUAUUAGGUCCUCCGGAAACACAGGAAAUGUCUUUUCAACUGAAUAUUCUUUUGACAAUGGAGGCAUGGCUUUCAGAGCUGUAGAAGAAAGUUCCAUUGUUCUAAGAACCUUUAUCCUUUAUGCCUACUAGAAAGGCUGCCUGGCUUAUUCUUUCAGGGUAACUUUCUGAGUGUUGAGGUCCAUGACAAUGACAAUAGUAACAACAGCAGCUACUAUAGUUUACUGAGUGCUCAGUGCCUGCCCUUGCUGUGUUGAGCACCUAGCACAUCCUAAUACCUCACUCAGUCCAGGUAAAUAUUCUUAUCCUCAUUUUUCAGAAGAAGAAACAAAAAAGGUUGAGUUACUUGCUCCAAGUCAUACAGCUAUUUGGAUGUGAAAAUUUUGAGGUCAAAUCAGAGUUUUUUUCUACCUCUGAAGCCUACUUUUAACAGUUAUAGAAAAUUGGCAAGUUGACAUAGAAAACCCAUAAGAAAAGAUAUGGAUUAUAUUUGUACACAGAACUACAAUAUCGUACGUAGUUGCAUAUUAAUCAAAUGACUGAUAUAUGUCUGUUGGUACAGGAAGAUACCUGAUUUUAUGAUCAUCAGAUGGAGAGAAAAUCAGAGGCUUCCGAAAGGAAUUUCAUGUUAAUUGACCUUUAAAACAUCUGGAUAUAUUUUGAAUAUGAGGGUUUUUUAAAAAUUGCUUUUCUUUUGGUCUUCAAAAAUGAAAACUACAUUUUAUUAAACAGUCCUUGUAUAGGAAGCCAAAAGACAGGAAUUCUAAUGUAGAAUGUGUACUUAUUAAGCUGUAUGAUCCUGCACAAUUCCUUACAAUACCUGAGUGUAUUUCUUAAUUUUCAAACCCAUGACUGAGUGAAAUAAUGUCCUGGGUUCAUGGUAUCCAUUCCUGCCCAUUCAUCUUUGCGUCCCUGGCUUCCAAUCAUCCUCUGAAGACCAAGAUCUUUUUAACUUGGUGAGAGAAAGCCUGAAACUUGGGGGACACUUGCAAGUGGAUAUUCUCAUCUUAGAGCUUUAAAAUAACAAUUUCCACUGGAUUCUGCAUGAUUUAGGGUCAUUAUGAAACUUAAUGAAUGAAAGAGACAACAGUUUUUAAAAUGUUAGCAAUUUCCUACAUUCAGUCUUGUAACCUUUAGAAACAAUGAUAAAGGCACCUUUAAACUGACUGUAGCUGACCUUUGGAAAAAACCCAUAAAUUGAAGAUACUACUUCUACAGAAUUCUUAUAUGGGAAGUAAAAGGGAGGCUGGGUACACCAUGCAAAAAUGCUUUGCAUGGCUGAAGACAUCAGAGUAAUCAUCAUUAAGCUGGAAGGAAACUUGGAGCCCUGUAGUCCAACUUUCUGCCGAGGGCCAUGUCACAUUUGAAACUUAAAAAAGAAAUUAGAAAUCUUUCUUUUCUUUUCUUUUUAAGAGAGAGUCCACAACUUCUCUUGGUAUCUUGUUCCAGUAACUGGGAUCUCACCUGUCAGCAAAUCAUUUUUCAUAGCUAAUCUAAAUCCCUAGGGCUUCAGUUUGAACUCAUUUUGCCUGUCCUUAGAGGUAAAAAAAACAAAGAGUACAAUACCUCCUCAUGUACAUGAAAACUGCCAUCAAGAUGCUAUUCAUCUUUCACCACAAAGCCAAAUUCCUUGAAUCUUUCUUCAUCAUUUCUUUUUAUCUUGUCCUUUUGUAACCUGCCUUUUGCACACAUGGCUCUCUGCAGGUCUUCAUCGUCAUAGCUGUGAGACCUAGAAUAAUAUAUAUAUAUAGGCAUACGUAGCUAUUAAUGCCCUAUAAAGUACACGGCUGAAUAUCUUAGAUAUUUAAAAUUGGAUUUUGUUUCUAUUUAUUAAGCCAACAUGUAAUGAUAAUACUUUCUUUUAUCAAUAGAAAUGCAAAGCAUUGUAUUGAUAGCAAGAGAGAUUAUAAGUGUACAUUUUCUUAAAAAUUCCAAAUUUAUAAAAAUUAUGAACCCAAAACAAUAAUUAAAGAAAAUAAUUGAAUGAAAUAUGUCCAUGCCUGCUUCACUGUAAGUUUCUACUCUCAGGCUAAACAGAACUUAGGUAGAAAGACAGUUAACUUGAGUUACCAAACAACCCCAGGUUCAGCCCUGGUUAUAAAAGGAGUCAAUGAAAAUGUAUAUUGGAACUUCUGAGCCUUACUUACCUCAUAUGUUACAGAAGAUGAUAGUAAUUUUAAUAGUAAGGUCUUUGAGGAAAAAGACCAUUUUUUAAUUUAUUUAUUUUCCUAUCUCCAGGGCCUAGCUCAAUUUAUAACAUAUCCACAUGUGCUUGGAUUUUACUGAAGGAGUGUUUGUGAGAAUUAAAUGAGAUUAUAUACAUGAAAAUAUUUAGUCAACUAUUGAACUCUAUGUAACUGUGAAUCAUGACUAUUAAUAAUUUUAAUUGUGAAUUUUAAAAAAAUUUAAACCCAACUUUGAUUUACACUUGUCUCUUCAGGAACAUUUCUGUUAUCCAUUAGUUGCACAUCUUUUAAAAAUGUAUCUAAAAACAACUUUCCCAAAAUGAACAAUCAAUGGUGCAAAGCUUACUGCUUGGAGUUUAAUGCUUGAUCUCUUCUGAUGAGCAAUCUGAUAAUGACAAAUGUACUGAGAUGUGACUAAGGCGACCUUCUGGAGCCAAUAAAAAGUCUCCCUGGCACCAGGAGAACAGAACUACUCUGAAAAAUUUAUAUUUUUUCCAGGGCACACAUGACCUUGUAAAAUAUUUCCCUAGCGGGGAGAGAAAAUCAGUGAUAUCUUUGACUGACAAAUGCAACCAAAGGUCUAAAUAACAUGGUUUUAUUUAUUAACAACAUGACUAAAAGGAAUCCUUUAACUACUUGACCUUCCAGGGAGAAUACUGUCUAAGGGCCAGAGGAAUUAUUCAGGAAAUUUUUUAUGUCAGAGACUUUAAAAGCAGUGAAUAAAAUUUUAGAUCUUUCUAAAGAGCUCCUUCCCUGUCUUUUUACUUGGUUUACAAACAUUUGGUUCAAGGAACAUGAGCUUUGCAGUCAAGUGUUCCUAGUUGAGAUCUUAGCUUUGCCACGGCUUUCCCAUGCAGAUCCUAUGAAAAAUGACUUAGCCUCUCUAACCUCAGCUUUCUCUUCUGUAAAAUGAAAAUAUGUCACCUAAAUCGUAAGAUUCACAGCACUGUUGGUGUCUUGGCAACUUCAUUGCCUACUGCUACCUUCGGGACUCUUUUUCUUUGCCUAUCUUGUAAGUAAGAGUCGGAUGACCAAAACCAGUACGUUCCAUGGACUUAAGGGACCCCUGCAAGACUCAGCUGAAACUCUUUGAUAGAACGUUUUAUUGAAUUUCUUUUCAAGAGUGAUAUUGAUUACUUGAUAAUGACACAAAGCUAUAAGUCUCUGAGAACGUGUUGCUUUUUUGGGGGGGAAUUAAGUUUUAAAAAGAAAAAAAAAAGUAUAUAGCUUUGAAAGUGAAGAUUGAUUACUGCCUGCCAAGGCCAGAUGGGAUGAGAAAGAAUUCUACACAGGAAUCCAGGAACCCUGAGUGCAGGAUCAGCUCUCCACAAACUACAUAACCUGAGGCUUGACACUUUUCUUCUCUAGAUCUUAUUUACUUCAUUCUAAAGCAAGAGAAUGAUGUGAUAGGCCUUUUUCUGCAUCUGACAAUCUACAGUGCUGGGACUCAGACAUUGUUGCUCUCCCAGACAGAUGCUGCCUAGGGCAUAGGAGGUUCUCAGUCCUCAUCUUGUGAUGUGGUCAAAGCUUCAGACACUAAGGACUUCUGCAGAAGGAUGUGACCCUCAGGCCAGCACAACACUGCAAGGGAAGAUCAGUUGUCCCAGUGUGAACAAAAGAAUUCUGCAGAUGCCUUUUUAGAUGUGACUGUGACUCUCUGGAUAGCACAUUCUCAAUCUCAGCCUCGUUACCGACUCAUACCAAAGUGGACUGAGGACAAGUCAUGCCCAAGUUAUAAACUUUUGCUUUGAAAUGGAAGAAAGCCUGGGAUUUAAAUGACUCUUUUCUUAUGCCAUCCUACCUGCUUCAUUUGCUCCAAGUGUUUUCUUUCAACAUGAAAAACAUGGCAGGUCAUUAAGAGGGGGAAUGAGGUAGUUUAUGACAGUCUCAGUUUACUCUCUUCAAGGUUCUUGUCUGUGCAUGUCUUUGGUGUCUAUAUGUAGUCCCCUGGAUCAGUUCAAACUUAUUCAUACUUGAAGUCUAUGUGAGGCUGGGACAUUUAGUCAUCAAUAGUUUACCCCAACAUUGUAGCUGUCAUUGGCUAGGCAGGGGACAUAAAGCACACCCAGCUAGGAUUGUAAAUGGCAAUAGUUAAAAAUUUAUUUACACAGUGUAGUCGGGGUUAAGGGAACCAAUAAGGGAUGUUGAGAUGUUCAAAGUAGGAAGUGGUUACUACUGGAAGGCCUGAGCAGCAGCAGGAAGAAACAGGAUGCAAAUGGUACAGAAUACCAGCAGCCAUCACAACUGAGUGCCAAGCAGGAAGCAGCAAGGGACCAGAAGUGUCUUUCUUCUCCUGCCUUCCUGUCUCCUGUUGGUGGAACUCACCCAAAAGUCAGAGGACAAGGGAACCCAUGGUUGGGCCCCCUGGCCCACAAAGCAGGUGGAGGAAGGCUUUUGGGGUGAGGGUAGGGAAAGACUAUUGGGGAAUAAUUGACCUAGUUAUUUUGAGUAUUUAAAUGGCUUGAUAUAUUAGACUUAUUAGUUCUGCAUUUAUUAUUGAAAUACUAUUUUAAAAAAUAAAUUUAUUUCUCUGUCAAAGCCUGAGUAUUCUUAUGCAAUUGUUAUUUAUAGUCUAGUAACAUUCAUGAUUCUGAAACUGCAUUGGGAUCUUCCAAAUAAUGUAUCUAAUAUAUCAUUUAUUUAUGACCAAUGAUAAGAGGAAUGGGGAUAAGAAAAGUAGUAGAAUGAAACAGACAUUAUUAUUGUAUGUAUGUAUGUGACUGUUUGACCAAUGUGAUUCUACAAUAUGUAUACUCAGAAAAAUGAGAAAUUAUAUCCCAUCUAAAUCCUAGGUAUUUUGAAUAGUAUCAUGUACUUAUUGCUGUUUAUUGACUAUCUUUUGAAUUAAAUUAAAAGGUCAUUUUCCACAAAGUA